UAACUUUUAGACCGUGAGGCCAAA
rnacentral:siRNA from 1 species